UAGAAGUCGUAACAAGGUCUCCGUUGGUGAACCAGCGGAGGGAUCAUUACCGAGUUUACAACUCCCAAACCCAAUGUGAACCAUACCAAACUGUUGCCUCGGCGGGGUCACGCCCCGGGUGCGUCGCAGCCCCGGAACCAGGCGCCCGCCGGAGGGACCAACCAAACUCUUUCUGUAGUCCCCUCGCGGACGUUAUUUUUACAGCUCUGAGCAAAAAUUCAAAAUGAAUCAAAACUUUCAACAAUCUGGCAUCGAUGAAGAACGCAGCGAAAUGCGAUAAGUAAUGUGAAUUGCAGAAUUCAGUGAAUCAUCGAAUCUUUGAACGCACAUUGCGCCCGCCAGUAUUCUGGCGGGCAUGCCUGUCCGAGCGUCAUUUCAACCCUCGAACCCCUCCGGGGGUCCGGCGUUGGGGAUCGGGAACCCCUAAGACGGGAUCCCCCGAAAUACAGUGGCGGUCUCGCCGCAGCCUCUCAUGCGCAGUAGUUUGCACAACUCGCACCGGGAGCGCGGCGCGUCCACGUCCGUAAAACACCCAACUUCUGAAAUGUUGACCUCGGAUCAGGUAGGAAUACCCGCUGAACUUAAGCAUAUCAAUAAGCG
rnacentral:rRNA from 1 species